rnacentral:rRNA from 1 species
UAGUCGCGCGAUAAAUUGCCUUCGGGCGAUGGAAAGCGGCGAAAGGGAGAGUAACACGCGGGUACCUACCCUCAGGACCGGGAUAGCUGCGGGAAACUGCAAUUAAUACCGGAUGAAGUCUCCGGACCAAAGGUGUGAUUCCGCCGGAGGAGGGGCCCACGUCCUAUCAGCUAGUUGGCGAGGUAAUAGCUCACCAAGGCUACGACGGGUACGGGGUGUGAGAGCAUGCCCCCGCUCACUGGGACUGAGACACUGCCCAGACACCUACGGGUGGCUGCAGUCGAGAAUCUUCCGCAAUGGGCGAAAGCCUGACGGAGCGACGCCGCGUGCGGGAUGAAGGCCUUCGGGUUGUAAACCGCUGUCAGUGGGGAGGAAAUACAUGGGGGUUCUCCCUCGUGUUUGACCGAUCCGCAGAGGAAGCACAGGCUAAGUUCGUGCCAGCAGCCGCGGUAACACGAACUGUGCAAACGUUAUUCGGAAUCACUGGGCUUAAAGAGUUCGUAGGCGGCGCGUCAAGUCGGGUGUGAAAUCCCUCGGCUCAACCGAGGAAUUGCGUCCGAAACUGGCGUGCUUGAGUGAGAUAGAGGUGAGCGGAACUGAUGGUGGAGCGGUGAAAUGCGUUGAUAUCAUCACGAACACCGGUGGCGAAAGCGGCUCACUGGGUCUCAACUGACGCUGA